UACAGAGGCCCCGAGCGUUAUCCGGAAUUAUUGGGCGUAAAGGGUGUGUAGGUGGCGCUGUUAGUCGUUUUUGAAAGCCCGGGGCUUAACCUCGGGACCGGGGACGAAACGGCAGUGCUUGAGUAGGGAAGAGGUAAGCGGAACUCUAUGUGUAGGGGUGAAAUCCGUUGAUAUAUAGGGGAACACCAAAAGCGAAGGCAGCUUACUGGUCCUUUACUGACACUGAAACACGAAAGCGUGGGUAGCGAAUGGG
rnacentral:rRNA from 1 species